UACGAAGGGGACUAGCGUUGUUCGGAAUCACUGGGCGUAAAAGCGCACGUAGGCGGAUAUGUCAGUCAGGGGUGAAAUCCCGGGGCUUAACCUCGGAACUGCCUUUGAUACAGCAUAUCUUGAGUCCGAUAGAGGUGGGUGGAAUUCCUAGUGUAGAGGUGAAAUUCGUAGAUAUUAGGAAGAACACCGGUGGCGAAGGCGGCCCACUGGAUCGGUACUGACGCUGAGGUGCGAAAGCGUGGGGAGCAAACAGG
rnacentral:rRNA from 1 species